rnacentral:rRNA from 1 species
GAUGAACGCUAGCGACAGGCCUAACACAUGCAAGUCGAGGGGCAGCACAUGAGUAGCAAUACGAUGGUGGCGACCGGCGCACGGGUGAGUAACACGUAUGCAACCUACUUGUAAGAGGGGAAUAACCCGGAGAAAUCCGGACUAAUACCGCAUAAUACUUUAUUACCGCAUGGUAUAAAAGUUAAACAAUUAUGGCUUACAGAUGGGCAUGCGUAUGAUUAGUUUGUUGGUGAGGUAACGGCUCACCAAGACAUCGAUCAUUAGGGUUCUGAGAGGAAGGUCCCCACACUGGUACUGAGACACGGACCAGACUCCUACGGGAGGCAGCAGUGAGGAAUAUU